rfam:Desulfopila aestuarii DSM 18488 genome assembly, contig: EJ45DRAFT_scaffold00032.32
AAACUGGAGAGUUUGAUCCUGGCUCAGAACGAACGCUGGCGGCGUGCUUAACACAUGCAAGUCGAACGCGAACGAGUUCUUCGGAACUUUAGUAGAGUGGCGCACGGGUGAGUAACGCGUAAGUAAUCUACCCUGGCAUCUGGAAUAACCCACCGAAAGGUGUGCUAAUAC